rnacentral:sRNA from 1 species
AUGUACCCACGUACACUCCGGUUCCUCCGCGCCGUCCGCACUCACCUGACGACUGCUCGCUACGUUUUGUUGGCC